UACAGAGGUCCCAAGCGUUGUUCGGAUUUACUGGGCGUAAAGCGCACGUAGGCGGUCUGUCGCGUCGGCUGUGAAAUCCCGAGGCUCAACCUCGGGUCUGCAGUCGAUACGGGCAAACUAGAGUAUUGCAGGGGAGACUGGAAUUCCUGGUGUAGCGGUGAAAUGCGCAGAUAUCAGGAGGAACACCGGUGGCGAAGGCGGGUCUCUGGGCAAUAACUGACGCUGAGGAGCGAAAGCGUGGGGAGCGAACAGG
rnacentral:rRNA from 1 species